rnacentral:rRNA from 1 species
UACGAAGGGGGCUAGCGUUGCUCGGAAUCACUGGGCGUAAAGGGUGCGUAGGCGGGUCUUUUAAGUCAGGGGUGAAAUCCUGGAGCUCAACUCCAGAACUGCCUUUGAUACUGAAGAUCUUGAGUUCGGGAGAGGUGAGUGGAACUGCGAGUGUAGAGGUGAAAUUCGUAGAUAUUCGCAAGAACACCAGUGACGAAGGCGGCUCACUGGCCCGAUACUGACGCUGAGGCACGAAAGCGUGGGGAGCAAACAGG